GGGACCACUUGAGCUUCUAGUGGUCUCAAAGGGUGAUCUGAGAACCUGAGUCGAAGAAUAGAGCAAGAGCAUAUGAGAGAGGGAUGCAGUGGCAGUGACCAGCCGCUGCUGCGUCUGAACUCACUGGAAUUGGAGUGGCUCUGUUCUGAUUCUGCGACUGGAAAUGAUAGAGGCAGGGGCGAGCUAGAGAGCCACAGUGCAAGGUUAUAAGGAGGAGAAGAAGA